rnacentral:rRNA from 1 species
AUGCAGUCAAGUCUGCCGGCCUUCAAGACUGCACUCGGUGCCCAGGCAAAGCUCACCAAAAGAGCAAAGAAAACCAGGUCAGCCGGAGUGCCAGACUUGCCUGACCCGGAGGCGACGGCUCAAGAACCGCCGGGUUCCUCCGCCCCCGAAGCCACCAUUCCAAUGGACACGGCGCCUGAAGCCCCUGCCCCGACUACCAAGGCAACGACCGAAGCGGCGGUUAACCCGGAGGCCUCCGGCUCAGCCCCUCCAGCAGACGACCCGGACGUGGUAAUCACCCGGACGGAAUUCGUUGAGCUGGGGAGACCGACCGCGUUGGCCAAGUGCUCCACGAAGGGGGAGUUACUGCAGCCCCACCGGGUGAACCUAGACCUCUCCGGCUACACCGACUUGAGCAUUGGAGAGCUCGUCUCUGGCUACAUCAACCAAGUCCACAAGAGCCGGGACGCCGAGGUUGCCAUGGUUAACCAAAUCCAACAAAAGUCCGAGGCUAUUGGCAAGAAAUUAGAGUCGGAUCUUGCGGAUCUCAAGAGCCGGCUGAAGACACAGGAGAUGGAGACCCGGAAGGCAAACGCCAAGUUCGUCUCCAGCAUCGCCGCUCAAGAGAAGCUGAAGACCGAAUUUGAUGCUGAGCGGAAGGCCUGGGCUGAGGAGAAGGCCGCCCUGGUGACCCGGGCGGAACAGGCGGAGAAGGCGCUCUCUGAGAAAGCCGCCGAGCUCUCCGGCCUAAAGCGCCAGGUUUCCCAAAUGGUAGCCGCCAUCUUCGGUAAGUCGCCUCACCGGCUUUCAUUAAGUCUGUAUAUGUCAUGA